rnacentral:rRNA from 1 species
CGUAGCUAGUAUGAGCGUGUGGUAAUAAUUUUGAAGCAAAGCGAAGAACAUUACUUUGUCGUGACAUCCACAGAAGACAUCCUGAGAUGGAUUUGUUCCUUCGGGAACUGUGAGACAGGUGCUGCAUGGCUGUUGUCAGCUUGUGUUGUGAAAUGUUGGGUUAAGUCCCGCAACGAGUGCAACCCUUAUCCUUUGUUGCCAGCGAUUAGGUCGGGAACUCAAAGGAGACUGCCAGUGAUAAACUGGAGGAAGGUGGGGAUGACGUCAAGUCAUCAUGGCCCUUACGACCAGGGCUACACACGUGCUACAAUGGCGCAUACAAAGAGAAGCGACCUUGCGAGAGCAAGCGGACCUCAUAAAGUGCGUCGUAGUCCGGAUUGGAGUCUGCAACUCGACUCCAUGAAGUCGGAAUCGCUAGUAAUCGUGGAUCAGAAUGCCACGGUGAAUACGUUCCCGGGCCUUGUACACACCGCCCGUCACACCAUGGGAGUGGGUUGCAAAAGAAGUAGGUAGCUUAACUCUCGGGACUAGCGCAUACGCAGAGAGCAAGCGCUGGAAAG